AUUGAACGCUGGCGGAAUGCUUUACACAUGCAAGUCGAACGGCAGCACGGACUUCGGUCUGGUGGCGAGUGGCGAACGGGUGAGUAAUGUAUCGGAACGUAUCCAAUAAUGGGGGAUAACGAGUCGAAAGAUUCGCUAAUACCGCAUACGCCCUACGGGGGAAAGCUGGGGACCUUCGGGCCUGGCGUUAAUGGAGCGGCCGAUAUCUGAUUAGCUAGUUGGUGAGGUAAAGGCUCACCAAGGCGACGAUCAGUAGCUGGUCUGAGAGGACGACCGGCCACACUGGAACUGAGACACGGUCCAGACUCCUACGGGAGGCAGCAGUGGGGAAUUCUGGACAAUGGGCGCAAGCCUGAUCCAGCCAUUCCGCGUGAGUGAAGGAGGCCUUCGGGUUGUAAAGCUCUUUCGCAAGGGAAGAAAACUUAGCCACUAACAUUGGUUGAGGUUGACGGUACCUUGAUAAGAAGCACCGGCUAACUACGUGCCAGCAGCCGCCGCCG
rnacentral:rRNA from 1 species